CCCCUAGACGUUCUGGGCUGCACGCGCGCUACAAUAAUACGCACAGCGAGUAUCACCGAGCUCGAAAGGGCAAGGUAAACAAUAGAAAAGGUACUGCAAUGGUUAUAGAUCCUUGUAAUUAUUGAUCUUCAACGAGGAAUUCCUAGUAAGUAUGUGUCAUCAUCACGCACUGAUUACGUCCCUGCCCUUUGUACACACCGCCCGUCGCUCCUACCGAUUGGGUGAGCCGAUGAAACUCUCGGAUGUAGGCUAUUCAUAGCCCGCAGAAGAGAUUUGAAUCGUAGCGCUUAGAGGAAGGAGAAGUCGUAACA
rnacentral:rRNA from 1 species